CCUUUGGAGGGUUUGAUCCUGGCUCAGAGUGAACGCUGGCGGCGUGGAUUAGGCAUGCAAGUCGAGCGAUCUUAUUUUUCUUUUGUUUCGGGGUAACCUGAGGCAGAAGAAAAAUGCGAUAGCGGCAAACGGGUGAGUAACGCGUUGGUAACCUACCUUGAGGAGGAGGGCAGCCCCGUGAAAACGGGGGUAAUACUCCAUGAUCUCGUGGAUCGCAAGAUUCAUGAGCAAAGAUGGCCUCUAUUUAUAAGCUGUCGCCUUAAGAGGGGCCUGCGUCCUAUCAGGUAGUUGGUGAGGUAAUAGCUCACCAAGCCAAAGACGGGUAGCUGGCGUAAGAGCGUGACCAGCCACAUCGGGACUGAGAUACUGCCCGGACUCCUACGGGAGGCUGCAGUCGAGAAUCUUUCCCAAUGGACGAAAGUCUGAGGAAGCGACG
rnacentral:rRNA from 1 species